rnacentral:rRNA from 1 species
AGCUCAUCAUGCUAGAGCACAUUUUCAAUGGGCUCCCCAACGACAAGGCGACAUCGCAUUCGUAUGUCAUCCAUAUCCACUUUCGAUGCCAUUUACUGCACCCACCAUGGUGACCACAGGUAACGGGGAAUCAGGGUUCGAUUCCUGAGAGGGAGCCUGAGAAACGGCUACCACAUGCAAGGAAGGCA